AGGAAACCGGCCCACUAUCUAGUGCGUACUGCGUGGUUUGGGGCACAACCAACACACUCCUCCCAAGGCCCCCGGCCGGAUUUCCACAUUUCUGUCAGCUGCGCUUGGAUCGUCCGCCAUCUUCCCUGCUCUCUAAUCGCUUCUGCACCUGGAAAAUGGGUUAAAUUAAGCUGUUUCAAGGAAGUGAAAUCACGUUUUAACGGCGUACGCAAUUGACUUGACUCACCUGAGCAUUUUACUGUAGAUCUGCAAAGGAUCAUGGUCAAGAUUCAGUGGUGGGUGAAUUCUACAGUAAGCAUAUUUCUGCUGUGAAUCACAAUACGUUACCGUGAGGCAUGUCUAAGUAGCCUACUGAAGUGGACCAAAGCAAAACAGAGCCCCAAAACAGUGCAGGAAAGAAAACUUUAGUCCAAGAUGUGGAUUCCAGCAAAUGUAAAACAAAGCACUUGCACAUUUUUAUGUUUUUGUUCAGAACAGCAGUGUUUACAAAAAUAUGAAUUUAUUUAUUUAUUAUCUAUGUAUUUUAUGUUUUAAAAUGUUGAAAUUCAAUAAAUGAUUUUUUUGUUACAAA